rnacentral:misc_RNA from 1 species
GUGAAUCAUCGAAUUUUUGAACGCAAAUUGCACUCUCUUCGAAGAGUAUGCGUGUUUGAGGGUCAGCCUAAUAAAAAACGACGUAUUAGCUGUUUCGCUUGGACAUUCGUCGUGAAUUGUGUCAGCUUAAACCUUUGGGUUUUUUAAGAGGCUUAAGAUUCUCUUUACGAGUCCACGAAAGUAUUAAUG